ACGUACGCUGGCGGCACGCCUAACACAUGCAAGUCGAACGAAGUAGCAAUACUUAGUGGCAGACGGGUGAGUAACAUGUAGGUAUCUGCCCUUUGGCCUGGAAUAACACGAGGAAACUUGUGCUAAUACCGGAUAAGUCUUUACGGAGAAAGCUUUAUGCACCAUUGGAUGAGCCUGCACUUGAUUAGUUUGUUGGUGGGGUAAUGGCCUACCAAGACUGUGAUCAAUAGCUGAUUUGAGAGGAUGAUCAGCCACAUUGGGACUGAGACACGGCCCAAACUCCUACGGGAGGCAGCAGUGGGGAAUCUUGCACAAUGGAGGAAACUCUGAUGCAGCGAUGCCGCGUGAGUGAAGAAGGCCUUUGGGUUGUAAAGCUCUUUCGUCGGGGAAGAAAAUGACUGUACCCGAAUAAGAAGGUCCGGCUAACUUCGUGCCAGCAGCCGCGGUAAUACGAAGGGACCUAGCGUAGUUCGGAAUUACUGGGCUUAAAGAGUUCGUAGGUGGUUGAAAAAGUUGGUGGUGAAAUCCCAGAGCUUAACUCUGGAACUGCCAUCAAAACUUUUCAGCUAGAGUAUGAUAGAGGAAAGCAGAAUUUCUAGUGUAGAGGUGAAAUUCGUAGAUAUUAGAAAGAAUACCAAUUGCGAAGGCAGCUUUCUGGAUCAUUACUGACACUGAGGAACGAAAGCAUGGGUAGCGAAGAGGAUUAGAUACCCUCGUAGUCCAUGCCGUAAACGAUGUGUGUUAGACGUUGGAAAUUUAUUUUCAGUGUCGCAGGGAAACCGAUAAACACACCGCCUGGGGAGUACGACCGCAAGGUUAAAACUCAAAUGAAUUGACGGGGACCCGCACAAGUAGUGGAGCAUGUGGUUUAAUUCGAAGAUACGCGCAGAACCUUACCAACACUUGACAUGUUCGUCGCGACUCUAAGAGAUUAGAGUUUUCGGUUCGGCCGGACGAAACACAGGUGCUGCAUGGCUGUCGUCAGCUCGUGUCGUGAGAUGUUGGGUUAAGUCCCGCAACGAGCGCAACCCUCACUUUUAGUUGCCAUCAUUAAGUUGGGCACUCUGAAAGAACUGCCAGUGAUAAGCUGGAGGAAGGUGGGGAUGACGUCAAGUCCUCAUGGCCCUUACGUGUUGGGCUACACACGUGCUACAAUGGUAUCUACAACAGGAAGCAAGACUGCGAAGUUAAGCAAAUCCCUAAAAGAUACCUCAGUUCGGAUUGCACUCUGCAACUCGAGUGCAUGAAGCUGGAAUUACUAGUAAUCGUGGAUCAGCGUGCCACGGUGAAUGCGUUCCCGGGUCUUGUACACACCGCC
rnacentral:rRNA from 1 species